GCCAUGCAUGUCUAAGUAUAAACGAUUUAAUCGUGAAACCGCGAAUGGCUCAUUAUAACAGCUAUAAUUUACUUGAUCUUGACACAAUCCUACUUGGAUAACUGUGGUAAUUCUAGAGCUAAUACAUGCAUUAAAGCUCUGACCUCACGGGAAGAGUGCAUUUAUUAGAACAAAACCAAGCGGCUUCGGCUGUUUCUGGUUGACUCAUAGUAACUGAGCUGAUCGCAUGGUCUUGCACCGGCGACGUGUCUUUCAAGUAUCUGCCGUAUCAACUUUCGAUGGUAGUGUAUCUGACUACCAUGGUGAUCACGCGUAACGGAGAAUAAGGGUUCGGCUCCGGAGAGUUCGCCUGAGAAAUCGCGAACACAUCUAAGGAAGGCAGCAGGCGCGAAAAUUACCCACUCUCAGCACGAGGAGGUAGUGACGAAAAAUAACGAGACCGUUCUCUUAUGAGGCCGGUCAUCGGAAUGGGUACAAUUUAAACCCUUAAACGA
rnacentral:rRNA from 1 species